AGUUUGAUCCUGGCUCAGGAUGAACGCUGGCGGCGCGCCUAACACAUGCAAGUCGAACGGCACCCCUCUCCGGAGGGAAGCGAGUGGCGAACGGCUGAGUAACACGUGGAGAACCUGCCCCCUCCCCCGGGAUAGCCGCCCGAAAGGACGGGUAAUACCGGAUACCCCGGGGUGCCGCAUGGCACCCCGGCUAAAGCCCCGACGGGAGGGGAUGGCUCCGCGGCCCAUCAGGUAGACGGCGGGGUGACGGCCCACCGUGCCGACAACGGGUAGCCGGGUUGAGAGACCGACCGGCCAGAUUGGGACUGAGACACGGCCCAGACUCCUACGGGAGGCAGCAGUGGGGAAUCUUGCGCAAUGGGGGGAACCCUGACGCAGCGACGCCGCGUGCGGGACGGAGGCCUUCGGGUCGUAAACCGCUUUCAGCAGGGAAGAGUCAAGACUGUACCUGCAGAAGAAGCCCCGGGCUUAAACUUACGGUGCCCAAGCAAGCCGGCGGUUAAUUACGUAAGGGGGGGCGAAGCGUUUAUCCGGGAAUUCAUUUGGGCGGUAAAAGCGGUGCCGUAGGACUGCCCCGGGGCAAGACCCGGGGGGUUUGAAAGCGGGGGGGGCUUCAACCCCCCCCGAAAGCCCCCGGGAACCCUCCCGCGGGAUUGGGGUCCGGGUACGGGGAGGGGCUGGAACACCGCGGGGGUGAGCGGUGGAACUGCCCGAGAUAUCGGUGGAAUACCCCGAUAUCGGAUGGCACACCCUGUGGCGAAGAGACCCCUCUGGGCGGAGACAAACGCUGGGGGAGCGAAACCUGGGGGAGCGACCAUGAUUAUAUACCCUGGUAGUCCCAGCCGUAAACGAUGUACGCUAGGUGUGGGGGGACGAUCCCCCCGUGCCGCAGCCAACGCAUUAAGCGUCCCGCCUGGGGAGUACGGCCGCAAGGCUAAAACUCAAAGGAAUUGACGGGGGCCCGCACAAGCAGCGGAGCAUGUGGCUUAAUUCGAAGCAACGCGAAGAACCUUACCAGGGCUUGACAUAUGGGUGAAGCGGGGGAGACCCCGUGGCCGAGAGGAGCCCAUACAGGUGGUGCAUGGCUGUCGUCAGCUCGUGUCGUGAGAUGUUGGGUUAAGUCCCGCAACGAGCGCAACCCCCGCCGCGUGUUGCCAUCGGGUGAUGCCGGGAACCCACGCGGGACCGCCGCCGUCAAGGCGGAGGAGGGCGGGGACGACGUCAAGUCAUCAUGCCCCUUAUGCCCUGGGCUGCACACGUGCUACAAUGGCCGGUACAGAGGGAUGCCACCCCGCGAGGGGGAGCGGAUCCCGGAAAGCCGGCCCCAGUUCGGAUUGGGGGCUGCAACCCGCCCCCAUGAAGUCGGAGUUGCUAGUAAUCGCGGAUCAGCAUGCCGCGGUGAAUGCGUUCCCGGGCCUUGCACACACCGCCCGUC
rnacentral:rRNA from 1 species